CAGACAUAGUGAUUACAUUUAAGCUGAGAAGAUCAAUGGGAAGAAUAUGCCUAUUAUAGCUGAACUUCACAGACAAAUUCUUGCACAACAGGAUGGGGGACCUUACACAGACUAUCUUUAAUUAUCUACUGCUACCCAACUUGCAAAAAGGACUAGAGUAGUAAGAGUUUCCUCCCUAAUCUCUGAAAUACUUAAUUUUUCAAAAUUCCUUCUCUGCUCAUGGGAUACUCCAAACAGAUGUCCACACGCUAGAUUCACACAGGUAUAUUAUGGCUCUGUUGUACUACUCACAAAAUGCACUUGGUAAUUUUAAUUUUGCAUUCUGCUGAGAGACAUAUUUAAGACUAUUUAAAGGGCUUCUUAACCUUCUCAUACAGCAAUGAAUUUUCCAUCCCAUUCACAACAGUGCAGUAUUCUUGUGGCAGCUCCACCGAAUGAACUUGUAACUUCAUAUAUUUCAUUGAGUAUGCAUUUGAAUUGUUUGGAACUAGGAAGCUCUCAAAGGCUACACUUCAAGAACCUCUGAUAGAUAAUGAGUUGACAGUCCUGCUCCCACUUAAUACAUAUCUCAUGCCUCCAUUUCAAAACCUCUGUGUAUUUCUCAGCUGAUUUUGUGUAACAAUGCAUUAAGCCUCAGCAUACAUUUUUAAUGCAAUGCCACUGCAUUGACAUCUUGUAAAUCAAUAUUCCUCCCUAUAUGCACAUCUGAUAUUCCUGUAUCUCCUGGAAAUCUCAUUAAAAGAAAUGAGAAAAUUCCCUCUGGAGCUUGUAUAGUUUGUAAUAUUAGCUUAACACUCUAAUGGGGGGCAUAAAGUUAAUUGUAUCAAUAAAAAAAAUAACGUUGUGCUCCAAGGAGUAUUUUAUUUUGAAAUGUAAAACCCAAAAAUUUAGAAAUAGCACAAAAUUCUUAAGACUAAUCAAAGAAAAACACUC